CAGGAGGAACGGUGACAGGCUCAGCCCGAUCAACACCGAUGGGUCUUCAGUUGAGAGGUGGGAGGAAACCAGAGCACUGGGAGGAAACCCGCACGUUCACAGGAAGGAACGUACAAGCCUCCUUGAAGAAGACUCCAGAAUUGAACUCCAAACUCCGAAGCCCCAAGCUGUGCUAUGCCGGUGCCCAUAAUGAAGGCAGACAAGACAAGACUGUUCAUGGAAGUAUUAUUUAGCACAAAGUUUUGCAAAAAGACGUGGUCAGGUGAUCAAAACACCGGUUGAAGAGGGUGGCUGGGGUCCUGUCGGAGUCCGUGAUCUACAGCUGCACUCGAACUGCGGUUCUUCACAAUUCCUGCUCUCGGAGCCCACCGAGCAGCCUAACGACCUCUUGAUAUCUCCAGGAGUGGCCUGGAAGAUGUCUGCCCUCAGGGUGGGGCUCUGUGGCCCUGUGGACGAUCCGAUUCCUCGCGGUGUUGCCAACUGAACUGUCAUGGGAAAUCAAAACGUCGGGACAGGAGUGUACACUGCUGUCGAAAUAAACAAUGCUGCAGACUGUAACAUGGAAACAGCGAGCAGUUGGCCCCCACCCCCACUGUAUCAGGAGCAAUA